UACGAAGGGUGCAAGCGUUAAUCUGAAUUACUGGGCGUAAAGCGCGCGUUAGGUGGUUCGUUAAGUUAGGAGUGAAAGCCCCGGGCUCAACCUGGGAAUUGCUUCUAAAACUGGCGAGCUAGAGUAUGGUAGAGGGUGGUGGAAUUUCCUGUGUAGCGGUGAAAUGCGUAGAUAUAGGAAGGAACAUCAGUGGCGAAGGCGACCACCUGGACUGAUACUGACACUGAGGUGCGAAAGCGUGGGGAGCAAACAGGAUUAGAUACCCCUGUAGU
rnacentral:rRNA from 1 species